ACGAACGCUGGCGGCAUGCCUAACACAUGCAAGUCGAACGAGACCUUCGGGUCUAGUGGCGCACGGGUGCGUAACGCGUGGGAAUCUGCCCUUGGGUUCGGAAUAACAGUUGGAAACGACUGCUAAUACCGGAUGAUGUCUUCGGACCAAAGAUUUAUCGCCCAGGGAUGAGCCCGCGUAGGAUUAGCUUGUUGGUGAGGUAAAGGCUCACCAAGGCGACGAUCCUUAGCUGGCUGAGAGGAUGAUCAGCCACACUGGGACUGAGACACGGCCCAGACUCCUACGGGAGGCAGCAGUGGGGAAUAUUGGACAAUGGGCGAAAGCCUGAUCCAGCAAUGCCGCGUGAGUGAUGAAGGCCUUAGGGUUGU
rnacentral:rRNA from 1 species